rnacentral:sRNA from 1 species
GCCAGGCGUGGUGGUGCACGCCUGUGAUUGUAGCAACUUGGGAGGCUGAGGCAGGAAGAUCUUGAGUUCAAACCCAGCCUCAGCAAUUUACUGAGGCCCUAGGCCACUCAGUAAGGUCCUGUCUCUA